rnacentral:lncRNA from 1 species
AAAAACAGUGGGACUCUAACAAGGCAGACGGAGCUGGUGAUGCCCUGUGGAAGCAGCCAAACAUAGUGCUGAGGCUUYUGUGCGCAGGCACAGUGACAGAACCAGCAACAGACUAACACACAAAUCAGAAACAAUCUGGACACCARAGUUCCCUGCACUCCAUCCUGCUGCAAAUGCACCAACUAUAAGAAUACAACAUACGGCACUAAUAUGUCCUCCUGGUCUGACCUCAGGGUUGAUGCUGCYUGAGCAGGAGGCUGGACUACAGACCACCUGACCUGCAUCGUUCUAUGAUCCUGCAACUGUUUGAAAGCUUUUCCUAUGUUAUUAAGAGCUGUCCUUGCACUGUCGUCACUACAGGAACACUAUCAGGUUUUCUUGGCUGGGAAGAUAAGAAAAUUUCUGCUGUGCUGUAGAGAUUUGGAAUAUUCCUAACAGGAAAAGUGGCAUGUAAAAGCCUGAAAGGAUAGACACACUGUUCACAUCAGCUACUCACAUCACUACUAGCUGAGCUUCAAAUUAGUCAUGCUGUGUAGGUAAGUCUACUCACUGCACAAAUCUGUUACU